AGACGUCUACAUUAGAUACCCGGGUAGUCCCAGCCGUAAACUAUGCGCGUUAGGUGUAUCGGUGACCACGAGUUACCGAGGUGCCGAAGGGAAACCGUGAAACGUGCCGCCUGGGAAGUACGGUCGCAAGGCUGAAACUUAAAGGAAUUGGCGGGGAGCACCACAACGGGUGGAGCCUGCGGUUUAAUUGGACUCAACGCCGGGAAGCUCACCGGAUAGGACAGCAGAAUGAUUGCCGGGCUGAAGACCCUGCAUGACUAGCUG
rnacentral:rRNA from 1 species